rnacentral:rRNA from 1 species
GAUGAACGCUGGCGGCGUGCUUAACACAUGCAAGUCGAACGGAAAGGCCCUGCUUUUGUGGGGUGCUCGAGUGGCGAACGGGUGAGUAACACGUGAGUAACCUGCCCUUGACUUUGGGAUAACUUCAGGAAACUGGGGCUAAUACCGGAUAGGAGCUCCUGCUGCAUGGUGGGGGUUGGAAAGUUUCGGCGGUUGGGGAUGGACUCGCGGCUUAUCAGCCUGUUGGUGGGGUAGUGGCUUACCAAGGCUUUGACGGGUAGCCUGCCUGAGAGGGUGACCGGGGACAAUGGGACUGAGAUAGGGACCAGACUCCUACGGGAGGCAGCAGUGGGGAAUAUUGCACAGUGAGCGGAAGCCUGAUGCGACAGCGCCGGGUGCGGGAUGACGGCCUUCGGGGGAUAAACAGCUUUCGCCUGAGACGAAGCGUGAUUGACGGUAAUGGGUCAAGAAGCACCGGCUAACUACGUG